UCUGGUAGCCAUAGCGAAUGUGUCCCACCCGAUCCCAUCCCGAACUCGGAAGUGAAACCAUUCAGCGCCGAUGAUAGUGUGGGGUUUCCCUAUGCGAAAGUAGGACACUGCCAGAC
rnacentral:rRNA from 1 species